GCUUACAGGCCACACCGGCCUGAGUACGCCUGAUCUCGUCCGAUCUCGGAAGCUAAGCAGGGUCGGGCCUGGUUAGUACUUGGAUGGGAGACCGCCUGGGAAUACCAGGUGCUGUAAGCU
ensembl:rRNA 5S_rRNA 5S ribosomal RNA